ACGAACGCUGGCGGCAGGCCUAACACAUGCAAGUCGAGCGCUACCUUCGGGUGGAGCGGCGGACGGGUGAGUAACGCGUAGGAAUCUACCUAGUAGAAGGGGAUAGCCCGGGGAAACCCGGAUUAAUACCGUAUACCUCCUUCGGGAGAAAGAAGGCCUCUCUUUGAAGCUUUCGCUACUAGAUGAGCCUGCGUAAGAUUAGCUUGUUGGUGAGGUAAAGGCUCACCAAGGCGACGAUCUUUAGCUGGUCUGAGAGGACGAUCAGCCACAUUGGGACUGAGACACGGCCCAGACUCCUACGGGAGGCAGCAGUGGGGAAUAUUGG
rnacentral:rRNA from 1 species